UACGGGGGGAGCAAGCGUUGUUCGGAUUUACUGGGCGUAAAGGGCGCGUAGGCGGUCAGCACAAGUCAGUUGUGAAAUCUCCGGGCUUAACUCGGAAAGGUCAACUGAUACUGUGCGACUAGAGUGCGGAAGGGGCAACUGGAAUUCUCGGUGUAGCGGUGAAAUGCGUAGAUAUCGAGAGGAACACCUGCGGCGAAGGCGGGUUGCUGGGCCGACACUGACGCUGACAGCGCGAAAGCCAGGGGAGCAAACGGG
rnacentral:rRNA from 1 species